AUAACUGCUAUGACAAGGAUAUGGGUAACUUUUACCGGUUUACAGAGAGGGGAGUCAUGCUGGGAUCUUCCUAACGCAGAAAAGUUGCUUACCACCUUUGAGCUGUAUUGGGGAAUUGAAGUAUCCAAUACCGUCCUACCACGUUACGGUGCCAGAGCCAUAAGUUUUUUAGAGCUUAUGGGAAAUUGGGUGGAACCACGAAAAACACAUUCGUCCCUUUC
rfam:Bacillus galactosidilyticus strain PL133 scaffold000049, whole genome shotgun sequence.